CUGCCUCUAUCAAGUUUAUGUCCCAUUAAGUGCUUCAGUGGCCAUAGGAUUACCAGCAGAGUGGUAUGUUGUUCAUUUAUUUUCCCUGGGACUUGGUCUCCACAUGUACAUGGCCCUCGUGAGCAUACACAUGACUUGGUUCCACCAAUAUAGCUUCAUUCAACCUUUAAGACAACAACAGGAAAUAAUUUCUUAUUGCCCAAAGAUUUCAGCUCACUCUGACCUUCAGAGCUCCUCAGUGCCUGCAUGCUCAGCACACUGUGUUCUGGGGGCAACGUAAAGGUGGAUCUUACGGUUACAUCCUGAUUAGUAUGUCCAAAUGGGGGCCCAAGCACUUCCUGCACUGCUGAGAAUAGCUCCAACAUGCACACAGUUUUAUUAUUACGUCUAUAUCUGUUGGUUUUUUUUUUUUUUUUUUCAUUUCUCCCCACACACACCCUGGUUUUGGCUGCAACAGAAAAUAAUGGGUCUGUGGGUGGAUUCAAGAUGUCAGAUAGAGAGAACAAGCACCGCUGUUCACUUUGUAGUAAGGCAGGGAACGGUAUUAAAGCAGCAGAUAUCAAGGAGCAGGGCCGCAGCAGCAGUAGCUCAUCCAAAGCAAUAACAACGCAUGAAGGCAAGCCAUGGCAACUGAAGGAAGGCUGGAAUCUAGCAUACCCAUGGUCUUGUUCUUAUUAUUACAACACAGCGUGACUAAAAAUAUCAAACCAAACAAAAGAAAUUCCUGCAGGCAAGGGGUAAGAGAGGAGGCCGACCACUGCUGGAAAUGGAACUUAUUGUUCACCUAAGUAGUGCAGCGGGGAACAGAAAUCACAGAAGCAAAGGCCAAGAUCAACAGCAGGAGGAGCACUGGAAGUAACAACAAUGUUCCUGAACAAGGAGCACAGACUCCAGAAGGGUUCCUUGAUCAAAAAUAAGAUGGUACAUCGCCUUAGAGGGCAGUCAUCUGGAUCUAUAGCAAGAGUGAAUGACUCUCCCUGGACUUCUGGGGGGAAUACAGGCAUCUAGUGAUGGCACUGUUUCUUUCCAAGUCUAUUUCUUGAGUAAAAAUCCUCUCUCUGAAACCUCCAUACGUAGUGCCAGAAAUGAACCAUUACACGUCGGGGCAGCACACAACUCCUCAGUGCACACAUACACACACACAAGCUGAUUUGUGCUUAUACCACAGAUAGCUCCAUCAGUCCAAUUCAAUUUCAAGAUGCACAUCAGCUCUAUUAGUUUAGGUGAUGCACUGGUCAGGUACCCUAUAUUCAGUGACUGCAUGGUGCCCAUUUCUGAGGCUACCAAACAGUCUAAGCAGAUUUUUCGUUUGUUUGUUUUGUUAAAGAAAUACUGUGAGGAAAUAAGCCAAUCUGCAGUGAGAAAAAGCUACCUUAUCAGGUUACAGCAACUAAAAACUCUGUAUGGAGGAAGAAGUUUAGGGAUUACAUUUCUAGAGGAAGUGGAGGCUACUCAUUUUGGUUAGGAGCCUAUUCCUUCCAAUAGUUACACAUGAAAUUCAGUUAAGUGAUAGUUACUUCUGUAUGCACACACUUUGAUACAAGUGACCCCAAAGUACCCACAGGUGGGCACGUGAACAUUAAGUGACCCAGUGGUGGGAACUCACUAAAAGAGCUGUUUUUCAGCUCAAAACUGUGCAGCACGUGGAGGCUAUAAAAGUGUACUACAACAAAAACACUAAACUGUAUUGCAUGGUUAACACACGCCAUCACAGUGAAGCCCUGUAAUGCAUCCUUUGCCACUUUUUCUCAUAUUAUGAGAAUACUUUUUAAGGGCUUCAUCAUCCCCAGCAGCAGAAACUGCCUUCUGGAAAGAACAAGACCCGAAGCAUUAUCUGACAGUAUCUGUUCACCUGCAGAGUAUGUGCAUGAAAGGCAACAACACAACUCUGCUCCUUUGGACGUGAGAUGGGGCAAUUAAGAGAAGAGAAUACUCAGUAAAUCUCCAGAGCAAUUCCUUUCUCAGCCCUUCUGCUAAGUAUUCAGAUUGGAAAAAGAUUUUCAGAAUUACACGGGGAGGAGUCCAAAAUUCAGUUGAUCAACAGCCAGUGAUUCAGAUAUUAAAUUUUUUGUGAUCCAUCGCUUCAUCUCUCUCUGAGAUUGCCUCAUGGGGAAACACUACAAAAUAAAACUUCAAUACUACCAUAAGCUCCAAAUAAAGCUUUUCUCUUUGAUUGCCUCUAUCUCAUCUGUCUGCUUAGAUUUGUGUGUCUAGUUAAGUGAAUACAGAAGACCAUACACUUGAAAUGAAAACUACACAGAGUACACUCUUGACUUGUUACCAUAAUUUACCUUCUAAGUGGAACCUCUUAUGAGCCUACUCAAUUAUAUUAAAAAUGACUGUGCGUUUAUUUCGACACAGUGUACACACUGAAACAUGCAUUCUAAAAUCCCGAGCUGAUGUAAAAUUGCAGAGCCUCAUCAAAAUGCAGAGGGCAUUCCUGAUUUACACCAGCACAUGCAGGGCCCCCAGAACCUUUCACACCGCAACACUUUUCCCGUGGGGAGCAAUACCAGUGCUAAGCAAUAAAAAGAAGUUGGUUUUAUAUCUAAUGUUGAUUUCUUCUCCAAUCUGAGACUUUAUUUCAUGCUUUUUCGUGCAACAAUACCUUGAAUGCACGGCAGAUUUACACUGAAAAACAGAGUUUAAAAAUACUUGUUAAAUGCUGAAGGCUUGACAGUUCCUUUAAAUAAUACUGAAAAAAUGCACGAGAACAUUUUGGUAGUGGAAUGAAAAAUGCUACGGUUUACAGCUCUA
ensembl:lncRNA